AGUCCUGUAGUAUAUAAAAUACAAGAGAUUGCAAAUCUCGAGAAGGAGAAAAAAAGGCUUCUCCCGGGGCUU
rnacentral:tRNA from 1 species